AGCAGUCGCCGCGGGAAUACGUAGGGUGCGAGCGUUAAUCGGAAUUACUGGGCGUAAAGCGUGCGCAGGCGGUUAUAUAAGACAGAUGUGAAAUCCCCAAGCUCAACCUGGGACCUGCAUUUGUGACUGUAUAGCUAGAGUACGGUAGAGGGGGAUGGAAUUCCGCGUGUAGCAGUGAAAUGCGUAGAUAUGCGGAGGAACACCGAUGGCGAAGGCAACCCCCUGGACCUGCACUGACGCUCAUGCACGAAAGCGUGGGGAGCAAACAGGAUUAGAUACCCGCGUAGUCCCUGUCUCUUAUAC
rnacentral:rRNA from 1 species